rfam:Myotis brandtii contig274894, whole genome shotgun sequence.
GGGCCAGUGGCUCAAUGGAUAACCCUUCUGACUAUGAAUCAGAAGAUUCCAGGUUCAACUCCUGGCUGGCUUG